UGGCUCAGUUGGUAGAGCAUGGUGUUUGCAAUGCCAGGGUUAUGGGUUCUAUUCCCAC
rnacentral:tRNA from 1 species